UACGCAGGGCGCAAGCGUUGUCCGGAAUUAUUGGGCGUAAAGGGCUCGUAGGCGGUUUGUCGCGUCGGGAGUGAAAUCCACUGGCUUAACUGGUGGCUUGCUUUCGAUACGGGCAGACUGGAGGUAUGCAGGGGAGAACGGAAUUCCUGGUGUAGCGGUGAAAUGCGCAGAUAUCAGGAGGAACACCGGUGGCGAAGGCGGUUCUCUGGGCAUGUCCUGACGCUGAGGAGCGAAAGUGUGGGGAGCGAACAGG
rnacentral:rRNA from 1 species